UACGUAGGGGGCAAGCGUUGUCCGGAUUUAUUGGGCGUAAAGAGCGUGUAGGCGGUUUGGUAGGUCCGCUGUGAAAACUCGAGCUCAACCUCGAGACGCCGGUGGAAACCAUCGGACUAGAGUCCGGAAGAGGAGAGUGGAAUUCCUGGUGUAGCGGUGAAGUGCGCAGAUAUCAGGAAGAACACCCGUGGCUAAGGCGGCUCUCUAGUACGGUACUGACGCUGAGACGCGAAAGCGUGGGGAGCGAACAGG
rnacentral:rRNA from 1 species